GAUGAAGAACGUAGCGAAAUGCGAUAAGUAAUGUGAAUUGCAGAAUUCAGUGAAUCAUCGAAUCUUUGAACGCACCUUGCACCCUUUGGUAUUCCGAAGGGUAUGCUCGUUUGAGUGUCAUUGUACUCUCACACUUCUAAUUCCUUUCGGGAUUGGGAGCGGUGGACUUGGGUGUUGCUGCUUUAGUUGUGGCUCACCUCAAAUAAGUUAGUGCAACUCUUGGUUGGACAUAGUACGGCGUGAUAAGUGUCUUCGCCGGCGCCUCUGUAAGGAGGGUGGCCGAUCGGGAGCUCUGUGCUUCAAACCGUCUUCGGACAAUCUUUGACAACUUGACCUCAAAUCGAGUAGGACUACCCGCUGAACUUAAGCAUAUCAAUAAGCGGAGA
rnacentral:misc_RNA from 1 species